CGGAAUUACUGGGCGUAAAGCGCAUGCAGGCGGCCUGUUAAGUCAGAUGUGAAAGCCCGGGGCUUAACCUCGGAAUUGCAUUUGAAACUGGCAGGCUAGAGUCUUGUAGAGGGGGUAGAAUUUCAGGUGUAGCGGUGAAAUGCGUAGAGAUCUGAAGGAAUACCAGUGGCGAAGGCGGCCCCCUGGACAAAGACUGACGCUCAGAUGCGAAAGCGUGGGGAGCAAACAGGAUUAGAUACCCUGGUAG
rnacentral:rRNA from 1 species